GUGACCAAAUAUGGGAUAGUAUCCCUAAUAUGGAAUACCCCUAUUUCUCCCAAAUGCAAAUUCACAUACGCAAUAAACAAUGAUUUUGUGUCUCUAUUUACUCCCGUUUACGCGUACAAGUUGUAGCAUGUCAGUUGAGCAAGUGCUUUCGUCAUUGUGACAGUUUUUUGUUUUGUCGCUACCGCAUAACUUUCUAAGGAGAAGCCGCAGCUACUACACUCGGAAAGAAAACUGUCGUGUUGGCAAAAAACAAGAAUUAAAAACAGAAUGAGAAAAUAUCAAAAGGAAAAAAACUAAAACAGAAGACUAAGCCUAAUUUAGAUGAUGAGGAGGUGAUGCUUUUUGAUACUGACAGUGAACCCGAUGCCUUGAUAGGAUAUACAGCUCCAUAAUCUGAAAAUUCGCAGUGUAUUUUCUGUGGUGUGCUGUUUUCGAAUGAUACUCAUGGGGAAACAUGGAUCAAGUAUCUUAUGUGUGGACUCUGGGCAUGUAAUGAUUGCGCUGUGCCAGAGUUUGAUGGAUGGAUGACCUGGAUUUGUGAUUUUUCUAAAAAAAUUAUGUACCUUUCUAUAUUAUACCAAGUUUCCAAAGAGUCUCGUGUAUUUUAAGGUCAAUUUUUGAUAGUGUUUAUAGUAUUCCAUAUUUGGGGUACCUAUUCCAUAUUUAGGUACCUAAAUCGUUAUUUAGUUUCUUAAACUUUUUCUUACCUUAAACUAAUCAAUAAAACCUAAACUUAUUACAAACUUAAGUGCAAAUAUAUGAUUGUUAAUAAUUACCACAAAAAGUUUUUUAUUUAUAACACUUGUGGAAAUUAUGCCUAAAAAUCAAAAUGGUAUUCCAUAUUUGGUCACUCUCCUCUA